UAUAGCAUAUAUUCAACACAAAAAACAGUGACAAUUUGUUGUUGACUAAGGACAGCUGGACAUAUAAAGGGCCCCAUUACCUUCAGCAGCUUAGGGCCUCAUCAGACCUCAAUCCGGCCCUGCAUCCAUGUCUAAGUUCUGUAUCUCCAAUUUCCAUCCAACCCAAACCGAAUAUUUUGCAGAGCGAAAAGCAUUGUGUUUAUUGUGCCAAUCAGGCUGCAAUGAUUCUAAAACAGCCUCUAGCUAAACAAGUUAUUGCUUUUCCCAGGGUCUGUACUGUAUUGUGAUGUGUGCAGCCCCUGCAUUCUGAGUUGCCAAGAAAAGGGGUGGGGGUAAGGUUGAAGAGAUCAGUGCAACUAGAAGAAUCAACAUACUCCACACUGGAGAAGCUCCUAUAUAAUUGUGCCCUAAUUGCACCCUCCCCACAAUAGAUUAGGUCCUAUGCUGCUGCAGUUUACUUAGAAGAGCAGUUAAGCCAGGCUGGACGCAAUGUUAAUAGAAAGUGAAUCCUACCCCCCUUUGCCUUCUGCUAGGCCAUAUGACUGGUGCAGAGAGAGAGCCAGAGGAUUUGCUGUGUGUGCUGGCUGGCUUGGUGCCACAAAGGCACGUCCAAGGCCUGGCUAUUCAGAAAGGAUGCUUAGCUGUAGCAAAGCCCUUUGAGAUAUCUCUGUCUUGAAUGGAGGGAGGAACUAGCAUUGCUGAAGGUGACUGAUGCUCCCAUUUUUAGAUGCAUUCCCACUCCAUACCCAGCUAGUCCUCUUGGGCUGACAUCACAGUAUCCACAGAGCUAUUUAAACUGCAGCAGGGCAGAGCUAGCCUGAGCUGAGGAUCCUGCCUACACCUGCUGACUUCCCCUCUGCUUCACUCCCAGCAGGAGACACAGAGUGAACAUGCCCCCAAAGAAGGAUGCCCCAGUGAAACGGCCAGUACCCCCGCCUGCCAAGCCAGCAGCUAAGCCAGCUCUAGCAAAGCCAGGAACCCCGGCAGCUAAAGGCAAAGCACCAGAAACAGCUCCUGCAGCACCAGCAGUACCAGCAAAGCCCAAGGAUCCUCCAAUUGACCUCUCCAAAGUUGUGAUUGAAUUCACUAAGGAGCAGUUGGAAGAUUACAAAGAGGCCUUUGGGCUCUUUGAUCGGGUUGGUGAUGGCAAAAUCCAGUUGGGCCAGUGCGGCGAUGUGAUGAGGGCCGUGGGACAGAAUCCCACAAAUGCCGAGAUCAUGAAAGUCCUGGGACACCCCAAGCCGGAUGAGCUGAAUUCUAAGCGGGUGGAGUUUGAAGAGUUCCUGCCCAUGUUGCAGACUAUUGCCAAGAGCAAAGAUCAGGGAACCUACGAAGACUACGUGGAGGGGCUCAGGGUCUUUGACAAAGAGGGAAACGGCACCGUCAUGGGCGCAGAACUGCGCCACGUCCUUGCCACGCUUGGUAAAAAAUGACUGAAGAGGAAGUAGACACUCUAUUAGCUGGGCAUGAAGAUGUUAAUGGCUGCAUCAAUUAUGAAGCCUUUGUCAAACACAUCAUGGCAGUCUGAGAGGAAGAGAGUGGAGUUCCUGAAGGUGGGGUUGAAUAGCUGCACUCUUCAGGCAGGACUGCUAAACCCAUCACUCCCCGGUGGAAUCAACUCUCCCCCUUUUUCUACCUUUGUAUAAACAUAACCAGCCACCCAACCCUCAAAGGAUGCUUCAUUUAUACUGCAACGUGGGAACAUCACUGAGUGUUCCUCUGUAGAACCAGAAGGGGGCACCAUCAAAUGCUACAGCCUCUAUGAGAAAAACUCUCCCAAAACAAUACAUUUAACCCCCUGGACAAUAAAGUCUUUGGUUUU